CAUGCCUAACACAUGCAAGUCGAACGGAAACGAUGGGAGCUUGCUCUCAGGCGUCGAGUGGCGGACGGGUGAGUAAUACAUAGGAAUCUACCCAGUAGCGGGGGACAACCUGGUGAAAACCAGGCUAAUACCGCAUACGACCUACGGGUGAAAGCAGGGGAUCUUCGGACCUUGCACUAUUGGAUGAGCCUAUGUCAGAUUAGCUUGUUGGUAGGGUAAUGGCCUACCAAGGCGACGAUCUGUAGCUGGUCUGAGAGGACGAUCAGCCACACUGGGACUGAGACACGGCCCAGACUCCUACGGGAGGCAGCAGUGGGGAAUAUUGCACGAUGGGCGCAAGCCUGAUGCAGCAAUGCCGCGUGUGUGAAGAAGGCCUGCGGGUUGUAAAGCACUUUCAGUGGGGAGGAAAACGUAACGGUUAAUAACCGUUGCCCUGACGUUACCCACAGAAGAAGCACCGGCUAACUCUGUGCCAGCAGCCGCGGUAAUACAGAGGGUGCGAACGUUAAUCGGAAUUACUGGGCGUAAAGCGCGCGUAGGCGGCUUGGUCAGUCGGAUGUGAAAGCCCCGGGCUUAACCUGGGAAUUGCAUUCGAUACUGCCAGGCUAGAAUGUAGUAGAGGGUAGUGGAAUUCCGGGUGUAGCGGCCCCAUCCCAGAUAUCCGGAGGAACCUCCAUCCGAAGGCGCCUACCUGGAAUAACAUUGACCAUGAGGUGCGAAAGCGGGGGGAGCAUACUCGAUUUGA
rnacentral:rRNA from 1 species